rnacentral:tRNA from 1 species
AAAGAAAUAUUAUUAAGAAGCUUCUAACUUCUCAAAGAGCAAUAUAUGUUCAUAUU